GACGAACGCUGGCGGCGUGCUUAACACAUGCAAGUCGAGCGGACAGGCCCCUUCGGGGGUACUCGAGCGGCGAACGGGUGAGUAACACGUGAGUAAUCUGCCCUUGGCUUCGGGAUAGCCACCGGAAACGGUGAUUAAUACCGGAUAUGACCAGCUACUACAUGGUGGUUGGUGGAAAGUUUUUCGGCCAGGGAUGUGCUCGCGGCCUAUCAGCUUGAUGGUGAGGUAACGGCUCACCAUGGCUUCGACGGGUAGCCGGCCUGAGAGGGUGACCGGUCACACUGGGACUGAGACACGGCCCAGACUCCUACGGGAGGCAGCAGUGGGGAAUAUUGGACAAUGGGCGGAAGCCUGAUCCAGCAACGCCGCGUGAGGGAUGACGGCCUUCGGGUUGUAAACCUCUUUCAGUACCGACGAAGCGCAAGUGACGGUAGGUACAGAAGAAGCACCGGCCAACUACGUGCCAGCAGCCGCCGUAACAC
rnacentral:rRNA from 1 species